AGAAAACCUUUGUUUGCGCGAUAAAAAAAAAAAAAAAUCACACUUUCAUAAACCGAUCAGUAGAUGUAGCUGUUUUAAUACAUAUAUAAAACACAGUCACGGUGGCCGAGAGGUUAAGGCGUUGGACUCGAAAUCCAAUGGGGUUUCCCCGCACAGGUUCGAAUCCUGUUCGUGACGAUGUUUUUUCUUUUCAAAACUAUGAUUAUUAAUUUAUUAAACAAUUUAAAGCACACCAAACGGUCGAACAAACUGUGUGAAUAUGUUUAUUCACUUUCAUUCUUACAAGAAAAUGCACAUACUCGGCUGUAGAAACAUGUUUGGUUUUCACUUCUUUCUCAGUUUAAUGUUAAUAUGGGUGAGUUUUUGUUUCAAUUAAGUGGGUUCGCGUGCGAUAUUCAGCAAAAACGAAUCGACGUAUUAGAGGCCUGGCAAAAUCUGUUAGCUAACCCCAUCUGAGGUCGAGUAUCUAAGACAAAGGAUGGACACGAAGGGCGUUCAUGUAAAGGAGCUGACAGGACCUGACAUAUUACCAUAUCAGUGUGGGACGAAGUGGGCAGCCUGAUACAAACUGGAGACAAUAAAUCAUUUUUUUGCAUCUAUCGAAGAUAAAAACAGAAGCUCAUGGCAGCACUAGUAUGAAUCCUGGGCCUCCUGCUGGAUCUACAGCAAUCGGCUCUGCUGUGUUUUCCCCUUGUCCUGACCCCCGAGAGAUCUCCUUUGGUUCAGGUGGGCAUCAUUUGAACCGCAGGCAUUGGAACAGCGGCAGUGCUUCUCCAGUUCCAGGUGGAGGGCACGGAUCAAAACCCACUAUCACCAUAUCCAAAGGACGGGAUCCUCGCCGAGCCCUGAAGAGAUGAGAACAUGACAAUUAUAUUUCAGUAUCAGGGACAAUGCUGCUUUGUAUUUAUUAUUCUGUGUUUAUUUUUUUUUAACUAUCUUCUGUUUAUUGGUUGAUUGAUGGGUUAAGGGUUAUUUGAAUUGUAAAUUAGAUAAACUUUUUUUCUGGAUUGAUGAGAGGACAUUUUGCAGAAUAUGUGU